rnacentral:rRNA from 1 species
UACAGAGGGGGCAAGCGUUGUUCGGAAUUACUGGGCGUAAAGGGCGCGUAGGCGGCCCGCUAAGUCGAACGUGAAAUCCCCGAGCUCAACUCGGGAACUGCGUCCGAUACUGGCGGGCUUGAAUCCGGGAGAGGGAUGCGGAAUUCCUGGUGUAGCGGUGAAAUGCGCAGAUAUCAGGAGGAACACCGAUGGCGAAGGCAGGUCUCUGGGCCACUACUGACGCUGAGAAGCGAAAGCAUGGGGGAGCGAACAGG